rnacentral:rRNA from 1 species
CCCUUAGAUGUUCGGGGCCGCACGCGCGCUGCACUGAAGGAAUCAUCGUGUCUUAUCCUUGUCCGACAGGACCGGGUAACCCGUUGAACCUCCUUCGUGCUAGGGAUUGGGGCUUGUAAUUUUUCCCCAUGAACGAGGAAUUCCCAGUAAGCGCGAGUCAUCAGCUCGCGUUGAUUACGUCCCUGCCCUUUGUACACACCGCCCGUCGCUACUACCGAUUGAAUGGUUUAGUGAGACCUUCGGAUUGGUCCCGGCAUGGUGGGAAACUGCCUGGCCGUGGUUGCUGAGAAGAUGUUCAAACUUGAUCAUUUAGAGGAAGUAAAAGUCGUAACA